rnacentral:lncRNA from 1 species
GCUUGAUGAAAGGAGAUAAGCUGGGGACCGUUUCCAGGAUCCCCGCGGGCCGACCGGGGCAGCCCGGGAGCCGAGGUGCGGCGGAGAGCCCGCGGAUCAAAGGAAUCUGGAGAGAAAGGGGAAGCGGGCGGCCGGCCCCGGCCGGCCUUCCCCCCCGCAGGCCACGCCGACCUGGGGUGGGGGGCUGCGGGCCGCGGGCGGGGACUCCGGGAUUUCCCGCCUGCCUGAGUCGGGGCCUACGCCGGCGCCCGCUUCGGGCGGCUCGGCCCGGAGGGGAGCUCCGGAGAGCCCGGGGCUCGCAGGUAAGCACCGGCGCUCCGCGGGCCGGGCCGGGGACGCAGGACAAGGCGCGGGGCCCACCCCGGCUGGCUCGGGAGUGGCGGUCGCGCGGGCCCGGCUCCCGUCUCCGGCGUCUCCCGGCUCCGGCGGCCGGGACCCCCCGCGGCCGAGCCCCUGGCCAGGCCCCAGGCCGGCGCCUUCGGAAGCGACGUCUGGCGGGCCGCGGGGCACGAGGGGGAGAGCCGGGAAGCGUAAAUCCCCGAAGCGCGCGGAGAUCCGAUUAGCGCGCGGCUAUUCAUUAGGCUGGGGGCGAUUGAAUUAGGUCCCUGGGCGCGGUCGCCGGCUGGGGGUGUGUGGCGCCGACCCCCGGGCUCUUGCCGUGGCCUCGGGAGGCUGGAGCAGCGAGCAGCGGCCCCAGCGAGUGUGUCGGGGAAGCGGGUGCCUCCGGGUCCCGGCCCCGCGGGUGCAGGCGGAGGCUGCCCGCUUCCCGCGUACACCGAGGACGGCCGGCCCGGCUCCGGAGAAAUGGCGCUUGAGAAAGGAGGGGAGGGGAAGGUUCCCGGACCCUGGGCAGGGACCCGUCGCCGGGGACCCGCGGAGCCCUCCGGGGAUGGAGGAGGCGCGAGCUGGAAGCGGCGCGCGAGCCCGAGCGCGGGGCUAACACCGUGGGGCCCAGUCUCUCCUGGCUCGGGUAAGUGGACGCGCCCCGAGGCCCCGGGUCCACGCAGGGCGCCCCUCGCAGACGGCGCAUUUCCUACUCUCCUAAGGAACCGAGUUCCCAUCACUGCCUCCGAUGAGCCUGUUUCCGGAUCAGGAACCUUUUUCAAGUUAAUUUUUAAAGCCUCAUUUGAAUUUUUUAAUAUAGGAAAAUACGUAUACGAGAAAAAUCUUGGAUGCAACAAAAAGAACACCGUGGCCACCCGUGGUGUCCCAGAAGUUGCUCUGAGCUCCUCGCAUCAGGGCAGGUGCUCCACCUCUAACCGCCCUGUGGGGGAACGGGAGGCCCCAAGCCCCUGGGAGUCCUGGUCUCCUCUAGAGUGUGUUGGAAGGACAGCCGCUGGAAAGGCCCCUCAGAGCCCCUAAACCAGCCUCCCCUCCCCCGUGGGCAGAUUGUUCGAGGGUCCUGGAGCCUGAAUGAUGGGCCCUCGGCUUGCCCACCCCCAUCCCCAGUCAUCAAUCACCAUUUGAGAAAUGCCCACUGCCAGGGACAUGGGAGGGCAGAGGGUAGCUCGCGGGUGCGUGGCCCCUAUCUCCUCAAGCUGGUUUAGACCCUUCUGGCUCAGCCUCACCAGAUUCCUAGGAUGAGCACUGGCUUCAAAUCCCCCAAGUGCUGGUCCCUUCGUGUCCCCGAAAGAGGCUGCUCGCGUGGGCAAAGGCCCCGAGGCGUCGAGUGCGCCUUCCAGGGCAGUGCGGAAGCUCCCUGCCCUCCUCCUUCCUCCCCACUUCUGCCUCCUCCUCCCCCAGUGUUCACUUGAAGCAAAUUCUAGUGGGCUUUUUUUUUUUCAAUACUGUUUCAAAACAGUUGUUACAGCAAAUAACUGCAGACGGGUCUGCUGGACGCGGUGGAGAGGGGCUGGCAGCUGCCCAGCACAGGCGCCUGGCCGCUGGGCAGCUCCCGCAAUACCAAAAUAAGCUCCCGAGUUCCCCUGGAAGACUUGGGCCGCCGGGAGCUCAGGCUGGCGAUCUGCUCAGAGGAAACCUCCCUACUUUCCUUUUUUACUCUUCCUGCUGUCCAGAGCUAACAAAUGUUUUUAAUUUCAGAGGAACAUGGUGUGGGGAUCUGCAGACUUGCCUUCCACUGGGGAGAGGGCCAGCGAGGGGACAGAGGGGGAGGAAAGGAGAGGGGAUAAUAGACCCGAGGUCAGUGUUGAUGCUGGAGGGCCCAGGUCUCUGAAGUUCCUGCAGCUUUGCAGGUGAGCGGGCUGCAAGUGAGGCUAGGCCUGUGGACACCCAGUGGGGCCUGGAACAGUGCCAGGAGUGGCCUUGAACCCCACCUUGAUCCCUCUCCAGCAGGAUCUGGAGUCACUUCCAUGGGCCUGGCAUACACCACUCCAGAUUUGCCCUCUGGCCUGGGGAGCAGAUAACCCCCCGCCCCACAUAACCAGCUGCGCUCCUACACCUAGCAGGCCGGCUCACAUCACCCUUUAACGCACACUAUAUUCACACACACACUUGUGCACAGUCUUGAAUGUGUGCCCACACAUCUGCCUGCACACACUCAUGUGCCCACAUGUGAAUCACUUGGAAGUGUACACAAAACCAAACCCACAGCACAGAUGGGCAGACAGGUGAGCCUCGUGCAGCAUGUGACACUCCCACAUGCACAAGACAUGUGUGCAGAGGCAUAUCACACACGCAGAAGCACUCCCGAGAACUGCCUUCUCCCUUUCAGCCUAGGGGCCCCUGUUCCCCCACAACCGGGCCCAGCCCUGGAGCCCCCUCCAGCACUCCUCUCCCACCCCCACGCUCCCCAAGAGCAGCAGAUGUAGGUCUCCCGGCUCCCAAACCUCUGAGAUGCUGCUCUGUCUGAAAUCAUCAUAUAAAUAAUCAUUUUUUAAUACAAGGGGGUGGGGGUGUCAGGCAAGUUCCAUGAAAUUGUGAAUUAGCCGCUGCUCCAAAUAAAUGCCUGCUUCGGCCCGAGAGCAGCCGCGCUGCGCCCGCUGCGCCCCCAAUAAUCGUGUGUUGGGUAUCUCUCCAUUGUUCCCUGGGCCAUUAGUCAAAGGGCAAAUUAGAAACAAUUUCUUGACGACAAAAAUUGACUCUUAAUUCUUCCCACCAGAGGCGCAGGGGGACAAGUCCAGAGGCCAGGCCUGAGGCUGGGGCUGGCGGCAGGAGGGGUAGGCGGGGUAGAGGUGGGGUAGAGGUGGGGGAUCUAAGAUGGUUCACAGCACAGAGACCUCCCUCAACUGGAGGGCAGCAGCAGCUCACCCCCACCCCAGAAUCAGUGUUCCAGAGGACAGCUGGGGGCAGGGGGUUAGGAACAAUCCCACUCCCUCCUGGAAGAGGUCCUGACCCCCCACCCCACCCAUCUGCCUGUACGGGUCCCUCUGCUAUCGACUGGGGCGAGUUCUUUUCAUGAGGGCCUUGCCUGGUGCCUGGAGGGAACAGGGUGUGGGGGAAAGGUCUGUGUGUUCCCCCCUCACCUCCCCUGCUCAGCGGUGUGGCCUCUGGCUCUGGGGAGGAUCGGGAAGCCCCAGGGUCCGUGCCUUGGAGUGGGGGGACAGCCUUUUCUCUGCCACAGCUUCUGCCUUUGGAGGCUUACCCUUCCUAGGAGCAGAACUGUUGUGGAGGGGAAGAGGACGGCGAAGGUUCCGAAGGGAAGGGGGCUGCCCCCACUGAAAACGAAGCUUCCAGUCACAGCCCCUUCAUUAUUUAUCAGGACCCAGGGGAUGAGGUGGCAGGGGAGGGGGCUGCAUGGAGGGAGUGCCCUCACCCUCGUCCCCAGCGCCUGCCCCCUCCCGACCAGGCCUGGGCUGAGGCCCAGGGUAAGGGGGCUGAGGCAGGCCACAGAGGAGCAAGACUUGUCAGGGGCCAGACCUGGGUAGGAGGAUUGUCCUCCAGGCACACACGGCCCCCAGCCCCCCAGCCUGUCGAACUGGGCUCUCCCAGAAGGUCCCCGGCUCCAGCCCAAGCAGGGAGCCAGGUUGGGGGUGUGGGAAGGCAGAAGUCCCAGGGAUCCUGGGGGAGGCUCAGGUUGUACCUGAAGGCCACAGUCUCCUCGACAGACCUCGGACGAGGUUGUAAGUGUUUUAAAGAAACUAGAGCAGCAGAGAAGAGAGACUCAGAAGCCCGUGGCACGGCUUUCUCGGCGUCCCCUCCAGCGAGGGGGUCUCCAUUGCUGCAGUUGCCGGUUUUGUCCAACCAGGUCAGGAGGCUGCCCGGCCCCCUCCCCACUCUCAAAGUUGCUUGUUAAACACAGAGUCGUAAUUUGUGGCUAAAUAUAACUAGUGUGUUCUCACGGAAAGUAUAAUUCAGGGUGCUCAUUGUAUGAGGUUAUCAACAAGACCCAUCUGGGUUAAAUUAAAGUGAUUUUCAUAAAGGGCAGAAGCGCCCCUUUGCCUGGUUUCCCCUGCCUUUUUAUUAGUGACAGUGUUAUUGUUGCAAUUAUUAGAGGGGAUCAAGGAAGGUGGGAGUUGCCAGGGACCCCCAGGCUGAGGAGGGAGCCUCCCAGCCCCCCUCCACUCACCAUUGUCCUGCUGCCCCUCCAGCCCCCUGGUCACUGUCACCUCUGCGGCUGGAGGGCUGGAGAAAGGCCCAGGAGCCCAGGGAACCUCCACCAUGCCAGGCUGCCUUCCCUAAAGGCCGGCUCCUUCCCCCCAGGCAGCCAGUCUGGGGGUGGACCUGGAGGGGCAGGGUUCUCUGGGAAUCUCUGGGCCAAGGGAUGCGCUUUGGGGAUCUGCUGGAAUAAAGAGUAAUCGGUUUUCCUUACAGGAGGUUGACCCGAAACAGCCCUCCGUCUUCCUGCCCAUGAGGAUGAGGACAGGAAGCCAGACCCGGGAGAGAAAGCCCAGAUCAGACAGAUGGGGGUUGGGAGGGCCUAGUGGCUGAAACUGCCCUGCUUGGGGACAAUGCUCAGGCAGGACCAAUCCAAACGAGGGCACUGCUUAUGUGGUCCUUCCGGAGCAUCCUCCAAGGCAGAGCCUGGCUUCGGGCCCUCCCUGCAAGGACACCUGCCUCCACUCCCUGCCAGACCAGGCCUGGCUGCAGAGGCGGAGGGGCGGCAGGGCUGCCUGUCUCCACUGUUUGGCGGUGUUUACACGUGUCGCUGUCAGGGUGUCUGGACAGUGGGGGUCGGGGGCCUCCCGGGCCCAGACUUCCCCAGGCCUAUUCUCACACUGGUGAGAGGGCCCUAGGGGAAGGGUGUGGGCUGGGUGGCGGGGCCAGGCCAGCUGAGACCUACAGGACCGUGGAGCAUUUAGGUCUCCCACCCAACUCCACCCGGUCCUCUGAGCAUCAGUUACAGAGCCCAGGCAGCAGGAGGGCAGGGCCCAGCCCCUUAUCACCCAUCCUCAAGGCAGGCAGGAACCCUGAAGGCAGCUUCCACCAGGGGUUCCCUUAGCCCCCACCCUCCAAAAGCCCCAGACCCUGCCAGGCCUCACCCUGCCAGCAUCGUGGCCCCAGCUGACGGCUCCCAAGGGCAGGUGCUGGCAACACAAGCAGGAGCCCUCGGGGCAUCCCGCAGGGCACACACCAGGUCGCCCUGGGCUCCCCAAGCACCUCCCAGACCCAGCCCUUGGGUGGGUCCUGGCCCACAAACCCCCACGCCCUGCCCCUGAGAUGAGCCCCACCGCCCACCUGCCCUCCAGCCCUGGAGACCUUUCUCCCCCUUGGCCAUGGCUCCCAUGGGGAGGCUGCAGGCCCUCCCUGGGCUGGACCAGAGGGGACAGACUGUCUCUCCCCUGCGACUUCUGGGGGCACUGGAGUCCUUGGCCUGGUUACCUUCAGCAUUUAUAGCCCUCCAGUGAGUUAUUCCUCGGAGUUCUCACAGAGCAGCAUGCGCCUGCGGCAAAGCCCUCACCUCCAGCCCCUGGACCACCUGACUGCUGCCUCCCGCCUGGCGCCAAACACGGCCACCGCCUCUUUUGUUAACAGGACAGUUGAUCCAUUAAAUUAAAAAUCAUUCAAUAGAUUCAUUUUUUUUUUCUGGCCUGAACAAAUACGUAUUCCAUCUCAAUUCAUGAAGCAUCAGUACCCGCUGCAGGGGUAAUUCCCCAGGCGGGAGAGGAGUUUCGGGGAAAGUGCCCCCAAAGGGAGACUCCCCAGAAAUCCCUUUCCAAGCAGCCAAGGCAGGCAGGCCAGAGGAGCCUGCCCCGGGCCAGGGCCCAGACCCACGCAGCCGCCCGCUCUCCCGGCCACUUCCGCCGGGGCCUUUCCGAGCGAAGUCCAUUAGGGCCGGGUCUCUGCGCCUCCCCUACCCGGGGUCCGGGCAAUACGCAGCCCCGA